rnacentral:rRNA from 1 species
UACAGAGGUCUCAAGCGUUGUUCGGAUUCACUGGGCGUAAAGGGUGCGUAGGUGGUGGGGUAAGUCGGAUGUGAAAUCUCCGAGCUCAACUCGGAAAUGGCAUUGGAAACUACCUUGCUAGAGGGUUGGAGGGGGGACUGGAAUGCUUGGUGUAGCAGUGAAAUGCGUAGAUAUCAAGCGGAACACCAGUGGCGAAGGCGAGUCCCUGGACAACUCCUGACACUGAGGCACGAAAGCUAGGGGAGCAAACAGG